GUAGACAUUUGUAACACUGGACAGAGCUGCAAUAGAUUAUCAUGCUGCCUCUUCAGCUGGAAAAAGCUAAACUGAAGAGUUAAUGGUGUUGAAGCAUUUUCUAUCCUUUUGUUGUUGUAAAGAGAAUUAUUGCCAGAGAAAUGGGAUUGUAGAAGUGGCUCACAUUAAAUGCCACAGAAGUUGUUCUAUACAGUUGAAGUCCGGUCAGCCAUUCGUUCGUCAUUGGAAGGACAGGAACAAAAAUCAGCCCAAGUCACC
rnacentral:misc_RNA from 1 species